UUUCGCAAUGCCCGAAAGGGUGACGAAGCGACGCCGCGUGUGGGAAGAAGGCCUUCGGGUUGUAAACCACUGUCGGGAGUUAGGAAAUGCAGGUGCGUUAAUAGCGUUCUUGCUUGACUAAGGCUCCGGAGGAAGCCACGGCUAACUCUGUGCCAGCAGCCGCGGUAAUACAGAGGCGGCAAGCGUUGUUCGGAAUUAUUGGGCGUAAAGAGCACGUAGGCGGCUGUGUAAGUCGGUUGUGAAAGCCUUCCGCUCAACGGGAGAACAGCAUCCGAUACUGAGUGGCUUGAGUGUGGGAGGGGAGAGCGGAACUUCUGGUGGAGCGGUGAAAUGCGUAGAUAUCAGAAGGAACGCCGGCGGCGAAAGCGGCUCUCUGGCCCAUAACUGACGCUGAGUGUGCGAAAGCUAGGGGAGCAAACGGGAUUAGAUACCCCGGUAGUCCUGGCCUUAAACGAUGGGCACUAAGUAGAGGGGUUUU
rnacentral:rRNA from 1 species